AGCGAACGCUGGCAGCAGGCCUAACACAUGCAAGUCGAACGGACCCUUCGGGGUUAGUGGCGGACGGGUGAGUAACACGUGGGAACGUGCCUUUAGGUUCGGAAUAGCUCCUGGAAAAGGGUGGUAAUGCCGAAUGUGCCCUUCGGGGGAAAGAUUUAUCGCCUUUAGAGCGGCCGCGUCUGAUUAGCUAGUUGGUGAGGUAAUGGCGCACCAAGGCGACGAUCAGUAGCUGGUCUGAGAGGAUGACCCGCCACAUUGGGACUGAGACACGGCCCAAACUCCUACGGGAGGCAGCAGUGGGUAAUCUUGCGCAAUGGGCGAAAGCCUGACGCAGCCAUGCCGCGUGGAUGAUGAAGGUCUUAGGAUUGUAAAAUCCUUUCACCGGUGAAGAUAAUGACUGUAGCCGGAGAAGAAGCCCCGGCUAACUUCGUGCCAGCCGCCGCAGUAAGAC
rnacentral:rRNA from 1 species